rnacentral:rRNA from 1 species
UGGGGAAUUUUGGACAAUGGGCGAAAGCCUGAUCCAGCAAUGCCGCGUGUGUGAAGAAGGCCUUCGGGUUGUAAAGCACUUUUGUCCGGAAAGAAAUCCUUGGCUCUAAUACAGUCGGGGGAUGACGGUACCGGAAGAAUAAGCACCGGCUAACUACGUGCCAGCAGCCGCGGUAAUACGUAGGGUGCAAGCGUUAAUCGGAAUUACUGGGCGUAAAGCGUGCGCAGGCGGUUUGCUAAGACCGAUGUGAAAUCCCCGGGCUCAACCUGGGAACUGCAUUGGUGACUGGCAGGCUAGAGUAUGGCAGAGGGGGGUAGAAUUCCACGUGUAGCAGUGAAAUGCGUAGAGAUGUGGAGGAAUACCGAUGGCGAAGGCAGCCCCCUGGGCCAAAUACUGACGCUCAUGCACGAAAAGCGUGGGGAGCAAAACAGGAUUAGAUACCCUGGUAGUCCACGCCCUAAAACGAUGUCAACUAGUUGUUGGGGAUUCAUUUCCUUAGUAACGUAGCUAACGCGUGAAGUUGACCGCCUGGGGAGUAACGGUCGCAAGAUUAAAACUCAAAUGAAUUGACGGGGUCAUAGCUGUUUCCU